rnacentral:rRNA from 1 species
GACGAACGCUGGCGGCGUGCUUAACACAUGCAAGUCGAACGAAGUGGCGAACGGGUGAGUAAUACGUGAGUAACCUGCCCUCCUUUUUGGGAUAAGCCUUGGAAACGGGGUCUAAUACCGACUAGAGGGGGAUGGGCUCGCGGCCUAUCUGCUUGUUGGUGGGGUGAUGUCCUACCAAGGGGGUGACGGGUAGCCGGCGUGAGAGGGUGACAGGCAAAAUUGGGCCUGAGGUAAGGGCCAGACACAUACAGGAGGCAGCAGUGGGGGAUAGUGCACAAUGGGCGAAAGGCUGAGGCAGCGACGCCGCGUGGGGGAUUGAGGUUUUUGGGUUGUAAACCUCUUGCGCUAUCGAAAGGGUAGGUGGAAAAGAAGCACCGGCUAACUCCGUGCCAGCAGCCGCGGUAAUAC